UAAAACUAAAAAAUACUUUGAUCCAUAUGUUUAUAUAAAUUAAAUUAAGAAGAUAUACAUACAGCAGAUGAUUCAGUUUUUCAUUUAAAUGGCAUCUCUUACAGACAAAUAUGUCAAUGUUGUUGUAGGUGGUCCAAAAAGGCAACUUAUUGGAAUCGGCCUAAUUAGCAUUUUUGUAAAUAUGUAUAUUAAAAUACGCACAGCAAAAUAGAUGAAUUAAAAGUU